GGGGGUGUCCUGGCUUCGACAGGGAUGCAUGAGGUUUGGUUUGCGUGUCUGGGUUGAUCGACCGGCCCAGUAAAAAGUCGAUCAAAACAUAAUUGCUGAAUCUAAUGAUUUUGCUCCAGCAAUGGCCGCUUAGUCUCUGACUAGCCCAUAAACUGUGAGGGGUAUGCACCGAUAACAACAAGCAUGCGACCAAGUUGAAGUUACUUGUAAACUAGCUUCCUAGGAACUGUCGGAAAAACCUAGUUAAAAAACACCCGAGUUUCGUGAAGUUUACAAACUUCAAUAGCCUUGUCUUCUGGCCAUAAAUGAAGACUACACACGUAGUGGGCCAUUCUGACUGAUCUUUGGACGUGGGUUCGAUUCCCACCACCUCCACCA
rnacentral:tmRNA from 1 species